AGGAGGGAAGAGAUUGAUAAUCAGAGAAAUCCACACCGGUAUUAAUUACAUGCCAUUACCAGGGCUUAUUUGCUAAUCCCCUUUCUAAUCACCCUCCCGGUCAUAUUUCAAGCAGCACUUCAGGACACUGCGCGUCAUGAAUAAAAUAUAUAUCAAAGUUUAUUCCAGAGCACAGGCAGCACGGUGCGGGCAGCGCAGCCAGGGUUACACAACAGACCUGCUGUCACACCAGCGGAGGCGCGGCACAUUCGGACGUCAGUGAAAUCCCCCCCCACCCCAGCCCAAAUCCGGGGUUUUGGCUUUUUAAAAUUUAAAUAAAUAAAUAGCAGAGGGACUUAGGGUUUCCGGGGGAUUCAUGCAGCUUCUGGGGAGCGCCGCUGCGGAAGCCUGGCACGGCGGAGCGGGACGAGGGACGGUCACCCUGGGCACGGAGGAGGAGGAGCGGGACCGCGGGCCGUGCCAGCUGAAGCUCUGCGAUUCCCGGCGGGACCGGCUGAUUCCAUCCGAGCACCGUCCUGAGGCCGGGACAGCGGCGGGGACAGCGGCACCAGGCCCUGCAAGGCUUCCAGUCCGGAGGGGAUCCUUCAUCCCGGAGGGGAUCCUUCAUCCCGGAGGACAUCCUUCAUCCCGGAGGGAUCCUUCAUCCCGGAGGGACAUCCUUCAUCCCGGAGGGGAUCCUUCAUCCCGGAGAGGAUCCUUCAUCCCGGAGGGGAUCCUUCAUCCCGGAGAGGAUCCUUCAUCCCGAGCCCAUCUCCGCCGCCUCGCACCUUCCUGCCAGCCCGCAGCGACCGGCCCUGCCACCAGGUGACAUUGGGUGUCCCCAAGGACGCCGGCUGGAAGCACCGGGAGCCUUCCAUGUCCCCGCCCGGUUUGGUCAGUCCGGAGCAGUCCCGAGCUCCGCUCGCCGCGAGUGUCCGGUGCCAGCGGACCCCGAGCCCGGUCCCUUCCCGAGCCGCUGCCCGGGGCUGCUGCCCGCCGUGCCCCGAGCCCGCUCCGCUCUCCGCCGAGGCUUGCAGGGGGCACGGCGGGGCUGCCCCGUGUGGGUCACCGUCCCGGCGGCGUCCCAAGGGCGGGGGUCCCCUCCGGGGGGAAGGGGCCCUGCCCCGGAACCUGCUGCCUUCAGGGCGGAGCGACCCCAGACCGGGCUGGGGGUGCUGGCAGCAGAUUCCUCCAUGAACACCCCCAAACCUGGCAAGAUCCUCCAGGGAUCCCAGGCUCGGAAGGGUCUCCCAGCACCAGGCAGGUUCCCAGAGCCCGCUGGGUCCCCCAGCCUCGUUGUGUCCCCCCAGUCUGUCAUUCACUGCACACCCCGGACCCUGACCCUGCAGGGUCCUUCGAGCACCACAACCCUCAGGGUGCUCUCCCACCAAAUCCCUCAGGGCACCCCAAGGUCCCCAGACCCUGCUGGGGCCCCUGGGCUGCCCUAAUACCACAAGGUCCCGUAUGGAACCCCAAAUACCCCAAAGUCUCCCCACAUCAGACCCCUCGGGCCACUGCUGGGAUCCCCAGACCCUGCUGGGUACCCCCACCCCAUAGAGUCCCCAGGACCCUGCAGGAUAUCCCUGGCAUCCUCAAGGAUGCUUAAGACCUUCCAGCCCAGAGGGUCCCAUCUCUGGGACCCCCAAAUCCAUUGGGUGCCAGCCCAUUGGAUUCCCCAGACCCUGCUGGAUCUCACCACUCCUGGAAGGGUCCCCUGGACCCUUCACAGAAUUCAACUGUAACCCUCAAACCCAGCAGUUCCAAACCCACCAGACUCCUCUAAAGGACCCCAGACCCCAUUGGCUUACCCCACACCAGGCGGUCCCCCAGAUCCUGCAGGGUCCCCGAGGCCCCUCACACCCACCAAGGUGCCCCCGACCCCAGGACUCCAAACCCACCAGGUCCCAUCCCACCAGAGUCCCCAGGACUCCCUGAACGACCCCAGGCCCUACGGGACCCCACCCCCCCAGCACUGGGUCCCACAGUUCCCUCAGUGAGCCCAACGAGGUGUCCCUCCACUUUCAGAGCCCCCAAACCCCCUGGCUCCCCACGGACCAAACCCCCUCAAGUACCCCAGACCCCUCCAGCUCCCCAAACCUCCCGUGUCCCCACCAUUUACCCUUCCCAAAACCCUCUGAAGGACCGGGUCCCCCCCACCACGGUGUCCCCCAGAUCCUGCAGGGUCCCCCAGACCCACCAAGACUUUCAGAAGCCCCCGGCUCCCCACCCCCCGACC
rnacentral:lncRNA from 1 species